AGAGUUUGAUCCUGGCUCAGGACGAACGCUGGCGGCGCGCUUAACACAUGCAAGUCGAGCGACGAAAGGUCCUUCGGGGCCCUGAAAGCGGCGAACGGGUGAGUAACACGUGGGUAACCCACCCUCGGUACCGGGAUAGCCCGGGGAAACCCGGAUUAAUACCGGAUGGCCUCUCCGGUCUACGGACUGGCGAGAAAAGGUAGCUUCGGCCUCCGACCGAGGACGGGCCCGCGGCCGAUUAGCUUGUUGGCGGGGUAACGGCCCACCAAGGCGACGAUCGGUAGCUGGUCUGAGAGGACGAUCAGCCACACUGGGACUGAGACACGGCCCAGACUCCUACGGGAGGCAGCAGUGGGGAAUCUUGCGCAAUGGGCGAAAGGCUGACGCAGCGACGCCGCGUGUGGGAUGACGGCCUUCGGGUUGUAAACCACUGUCGGGGGGGGCGAAUACCUGGCUUCGAACAGGAGACCAGGGGUGACGGUACCCCCAAAGGAAGCACCGGCUAACUCCGUGCCAGCAGCCGCGGUAAU
rnacentral:rRNA from 1 species